rnacentral:misc_RNA from 1 species
CAGGGCGUCAGGCACAUCGUAGUGGCGCUGCGGUUUGGUUUGUAUGCAUGGUUGAAAAGCUGCCAGUCCUGGUGGUGGAGCAGCAGCAGCAGCAGAAGAAGAAGAAGCAGAAGAAGAGUCGGAGAUGAAGCCGCCGGCGCCGAGGAGCAAGAAGAGCAGGCCCGCCUUCUGCAGCCUACCGCUGCUGCUCCUCAUCGGCGCCAUCCAGUUCCUGGUCAUCUACUCCCCCGCCAUCGACCGCUACAUGGUCAUGGUGACCAAAGGCAAGCCCGGGUUCCCGUCGCUGCUGCUGGACGGCAGGAGAGGGUUCAAGCUGGUGGAGGAGGAGACCGUCCCGGAGCCGCGCGUGCGGUGCGACUUCGCGGACCCGAGGUCGGACGUGUGCGAGCUGGAAGGCGCCAUCCGCGUGCGCGGCAGCACGUCGGAGGUGUUCGUGCUGGCGCCCGCCCGCGCCGACGGCCUGGCGGCGAACGUGACGGGGCUGGCGCCGGGGACGACGAGCUGGACGGUCCAGCCGUACACGCGCAAGGGCGAGGCGCGCGUGAUGCGGGGCAUCUCGACGCUGACGGUGCGCGUGGUGCCCGCCGGCGCCGCGCCGCCGUGCACGGUGCGGCACGACGUUCCCGCCGUGGUGUACUCCAACGGCGGCUACUGCGGCAACUACUACCACGACUUCAACGACAACAUCAUCCCGCUGUUCGUGACGGCGCGCCACCUGGGCGGCGAGGUGCAGCUGCUGGUGGCGCAGAAGCAGGCGUGGUGGUUCGGCAAGUACAGGGAGAUCGUGGACGGGCUGACCAACUACGAGGCGGUGGACCUGGGCGCCGACGCGGAGGGGGAGGUGCGCUGCUUCCGCGCCGCCACGCUGGGGCUGCGCAGCCACAAGGACCUCAGCAUCGACCCGCGCCGCGCGCCGCGGAACCUGUCCAUGGUCGACUUCAAGCGCUUCCUCAUGUGGCGAUACGCGCUGCCGCGGGAGCACGCCAUCCGGACGGACGAGGAGGAGGCCGGGCCCGGGCCCGGGCGGGCGAGGACGAGGCCCCGGCUGCUGGUCGUGGCCCGGCGCUCGCGGCGGCGGUUCGUCAACCUCCCGGAGAUCGUGGCGCUGGCGGAGGAAGUCGGCUUCGACGUGACGGCGUCGGACCUGAUGUCGGGGACGGCGUCCAAGAGCAAGAGCGGCGCCGGGGACGAAGGGCACUCGCGCAUGGCGGACGCGUCCAAGCUGGUGAACUCGUUCGACGCGAUGGUGGCGGUGCACGGGUCCGGGCUCACCAACCUGGUGUUCCUGCCCAUGAACGCGGUGGUGGUGCAGGUGGUGCCGCUGGGGCGGAUGGAGGGCCUGGCCAUGGACGAGUACGGGGUGCCGCCGCGGGACAUGAACAUGCGCUACCUCCAGUACAACAUCACGGCGGAGGAGAGCACGCUGUCGGAGGUGUACCCGAGGGCGCACCCCGUGCUGAUGGACCCCAUGCCCAUCCACGAGCAGAGCUGGACGCUCGUCAAGGACGUCUACCUCGGCAAGCAGGACGUCAGGCUCGACGUCCGCCGCUUCAGGCCCGUCCUCCUCAAGGCCAUCCAGCUGCUCCGCUGACCUAUUAACUCACGUUGAUCGGGCCUCGCCCCACCGCCGGCCGGCCAGCCUGAUGCCCUGAUCCGAUGACCACCAAUGUACAAUCUCCACUCCAGUAUGCGAUUGAGGUAGAUGACAUGUGACGAUACACAGACAUGAUACUCCCACACAUACAUACAGUGAUCCAGUUUGCUUUUUUGUUUACCUUUUUUUUAUUUUUCUUCGAUGAUAUACAUUAUCUUUUUACCCUCUCUAUCUUUUUCUUUAUCUUUUUGCCCUCUCUUCUCUCUUCAAUCCUCGGCGCACCAUACUCUGCUUGCGCCUCUGUGAUUUGUGGUGGUGAUGACAUGUUGGCAAUGCCGGCAGGCAAGCGUGCGCCCUGUGAUUUGUGGUGGUUGCCAACAAAUACGAAUCAUGUGAUGCACCCAUGUGACGCACGAUUCAAGUAGGUCGUGCGCUCGCCAAGGUUCGGUGCACCGACGAACGAAGCUCGAGGUCCGGGCCGUCGGCGAAGAAGAG